rnacentral:pre_miRNA from 1 species
CAAAUACUCCCUCCGUCCGAAAAUACUUGUCAUCAAAAUGGAUAAAAGGAAAUGUAUCUAGAUGUAUUUUAGUUUUAGAUACAUCUCUUUUUAUCCAUUUUGAUGACAAGUAUUUUCGGACGGAGGGAGUAGAAA